rnacentral:rRNA from 1 species
CCUACGGGAGGCAGCAGUAGGGAAUAUUGCUCAAUGGAGGAAACCCUGAAGCAGCAACGCCGCGUGGAGGAUGAAGGUUUUCGGAUUGUAAACUCCUGUUGUUAGAGAAGAUAAUGACGGUAUCUAACGAAUAAGCACCGGCUAACUCCGUGCCAGCAGCCGCGGUAAUACGGAGGGUGCAAGCGUUACUCGGAAUCACUGGGCGGAAAGAGCGCGUAGGCGGGAUAGCAAGUCAGAUGUGAAAUCCUAUGGCUUAACCAUAGAACUGCAUUUGAAACUGUUAUUCUAGAGUAUGGGAGAGGUAGGUGGAAUUCUUGGUGUAGGGGUAAAAUCCGUAGAGAUCAAGAGGAAUACUCAUUGCGAAGGCGACCUGCUAGAACAUAACUGACGCUGAUGCGCGAAAGCGUGGGGAGCAAACAGGAUUAGAUACCCGAGUAGUC